rnacentral:rRNA from 1 species
ACGAACGCUGGCGGCGUGCUUAACACAUGCAAGUCGAACGGAAAGGCCCUGCUUUUGGGGGGUGCUCGAGUGGCGAACGGGUGAGUAACACGUGAGUAACCUGCCCUUGACUUUGGGAUAACUUCAGGAAACUGGGGCUAAUACCGGAUAGGAGCUCCUGCUGCAUGGUGGGGGUUGGAAAGUUUCGGCGGUUGGGGAUGGACUCGCGGCUUAUCAGCUUGUUGGUGGGGUAGUGGCUUACCAAGGCUUUGACGGGUAGCCGGCCUGAGAGGGUGACCGGCCACAUUGGGACUGAGAUACGGCCCAGACUCCUACGGGAGGCAGCAGUGGGGAAUAUUGCACAAUGGGCGGAAGCCUGAUGCAGCAACGCCGCGUGCGGGAUGACGGCCUUCGGGUUGUAAACCGCUUUCGCCUGUGACGAAGCGUGAGUGACGGUAAUGGGUAAAGAAGCACCGGCUAACUACGUGCCAGCAGCCGCGGUGAUACGUAGGGUGCGAGCGUUGUCCGGAUUUAUUGGGCGUAAAGGGCUCGUAGGUGGUUGAUCGCGUCGGAAGUGUAAUCUUGGGGCUUAACCCUGAGCGUGCUUUCGAUACGGGUUGACUUGAGGAAGGUAGGGGAGAAUGGAAUUCCUGGUGGAGCGGUGGAAUGCGCAGAUAUCAGGAGGAACACCAGUGGCGAAGGCGGUUCUCUGGGCCUUUCCUGACGCUGAGGAGCGAAAGCGUGGGGAGCGAACAGGCUUAGAUACCCUGGUAGUCCACGCUGUAAACGGUGGGCACUAGGUGUGGGGUCCAUUCCACGGGUUCCGUGCCGUAGCUAACGCUUUAAGUACCCCGCCUGGGGAGUACGGCCGCAAGGCUAAAACUCAAAGGAAUUGACGGGGCCCCGCACAAGCGGCGGAGCAUGCGGAUUAAUUCGAUGCAACGCGUAGAACCUUACCUGGGUUUGACAUGGAUCGGGAGUGCUCAGAGAUGGGUGUGCCUCUUUUGGGGUCGGUUCACAGGUGGUGCAUGGCUGUCGUCAGCUCGUGUCGUGAGAUGUUGGGUUAAGUCCCGCAACGAGCGCAACCCUUGUUCACUGUUGCCAGCACGUUAUGGUGGGGACUCAGUGGAGACCGCCGGGGUCAACUCGGAGGAAGGUGGGGAUGACGUCAAGUCAUCAUGCCCCUUAUGUCCAGGGCUUCACGCAUGCUACAAUGGCUGGUACAGAGAGUGGCGAGCCUGUGAGGGUGAGCGAAUCUCGGAAAGCCGGUCUCAGUUCGGAUUGGGGUCUGCAACUCGACCUCAUGAAGUCGGAGUCGCUAGUAAUCGCAGAUCAGCAACGCUGCGGUGAAUACGUUCCCGGGGCUUGUACACACCGCCCGUCAAGUCAUGAAAGUUGGUAACACCCGAAGCCGGUGGCCUAACCGUUGUGGGGGAGCCGUCGGAGGUGGGACUGG